UCUCCAGGCUAGGACCCAGCUGCUCUCAUCAUGCAACAGGCUCAGAAAAAGGUUGGGGGACCAGCAACAAAAUACGAGGUCUUUGGUCUCGGUGCAGCUUUCCAGCAGCCUUCAGCUUACAAGAAGAGAGAAGUUGCCUGGGAGACCUGGCACUGAAGGAAAGGCUCUCCUCCUUCCGCGAUGCUCCUUGCAAUGGUGCAUCAGUUCUGACCAUACCAGGUGGGAUGAGAUUCAGAGCAGCUGGUGUAGGUUUAUUAUAGCUCUCCUGCUUACACAGAAUGGAUGUGGACCAGCACGGAUUUUCACCAGGGCCUUAUUCUGCACUCUGGGUAAGCAAGUAUAGCUACCUGACUACUUCUGUGUCCCAAAACCAUGUGUCUGGAUACCUGUUUUCACCUGGAGGGCUCAAGAAAGGGGAGCAGGUCACCAGCUAAGUCACCAAGAUGUCCAUCCAUCUCCCCAAGUCACUGUUUUGUAGUCUCAUGUUCAGAGCUGGAGCCGCAGGAAUGAAUGCUUGCACAAUGGAAGUUCGAGCCUACGGGAGGUCUCCUGUCUAAGCAGAAAAAAAUGACAGGUUUUAAAAUACUUCAUAGCCAUUUGUAACUCUCUCCAAGGAGAGUGUUUUGUCUUCUGCUUCAUCAGUGCAUACAGACUGCCAUCUCCCAUUAUGGGAAUAAUGUAAAAUAAAAUACAAUAAA